CUGGACCGGUUUUCCUCCAACGAGCCAGGUCCUUGUCAGCUGUGACAGAUAUUUAGCGACCCCUAGAAACAACGCUGCGGAAAGCUCAGGAAUAGAGCGUCGGGGCAGAAGCGGGAAAAGCUUAGCCUCUCUGCUGGGCCACCAGUGCAAGCCAGUGACCGGCCCUGGGCUUCUGGCUGAAGGAACAGUAACUGCCAUCCUGGCUUAAGCCGCUGGCCGCUGAGCUGUCGCAAUUGCUGCCAAAGGCAUCGUAACUGAAGCAAUCACCAAAGGUCAUUUUUCUUGCUCUCCCCUCCUCCCCCAAGGGACUCUCUUCCUUUUAGUAGUACACCCAUCGCCCCUCAGACGCCCAAGCCAGGACCCCUGGAUCAGCUUCUGUGUCUCAGGGUCCCAUAGGCAGGGGAGCCAAAAACUGAAAACUCUCCACCCACGUGAGGUGAAGCGGCCAGCCCAGCACGGAUCUCUAGGAAGAACCUUCCAGACAAAGGCAUAGCAGGUGCCAAGGCCCUGGCACCUGCCACGUGAGGCCCCGGGAGGCCACGGGUAGAGACUUCCGGUUUUAUUCAAGUGGCUGCCAAAACCCUCCCUGUCCACCCACAGGCUUGUGGCGAUGGGGCACACGCCAGCUGCCGAGGGCCAGAAGUGCCUGGAGCAAUGUGUCAGAGUUCAAGCUCCCCACCUCCUCUCCAGCCCCAAGGACAAAGGGCAAGACAGUUAUCCUGAUCAUCGUCUUCUGUCUCUAACCUUGACCUCGAAGUUCUGUGAAAGCAGGGGUAGGUGCCUCGUGAAUGUACUCUCCCUGCAGCCCACUGGUACCUACCACCAUGGGCUCAGCAGACACUCAGAGGAGGCGGCGCCUCACACCCUGCCUGCGUCUGGCUUCCUUCUCCUCUCUUUCUGCAGAAGACAGGCUUCCGGAGAAAAGGAUCAUGAAAAAUAAGGGGUCUCCUGGGUGUUCAUCCAACCCAUAUGGUGAAGAAAAGGGCUAGAGGGCGUGAUAAGAUGCAAAGAAACCUCAUUUUCGCUCUCAUACACACUUCCCUGUUUCGUGCUGUGCCCGCCCCACCCCAUGCAAUGCCCAUAGUGAAAGGCCUCUGGAAUGCUGCUCCUCCUCGGGAAACCAACCUCCCCCCCAAAAGGACGAAGCCAGAGGCAGCAUGACCCCGCAGAGCAUGACUGACUCCUCCAUCCUCAGGACUAGAAAGUUAUUGGAAGCGCCCUGAAGGCACAGAGGCUCGGAGAAAUCUAUGAAAUUCAAAACUCCACCAGGCAGGCCGCAGGGGCAGGACCCCCGCGUCUACAGAUAACAUCUGAGCAAACUCAAGCCUAGAGUCCUGUGUCCACUGCUGUCACGUGACUGCAGUCCCUCCUUCUUUGCAAUCCAGGGAAAGCUCAAAGUCCUAACCCCUCCCAGCUGGUGCCCUAACCCCUCAGGGCUGGUGCAUUUCUCUGGAGCCUAGCCU